rnacentral:rRNA from 1 species
AUUGAACGCUGGCGGCAUGCCUUACACAUGCAAGUCGAACGGCAGCAUGGAGAGCUUGCUCUCUGAUGGCGAGUGGCGAACGGGUGAGUAAUGCAUCGGAACGUACCGUGUAAUGGGGGAUAACGUAGCGAAAGUUACGCUAAUACCGCAUACGACCUGAGGGUGAGAGCAGGGGAUCGCAAGACCUUGCGUUAUACGAGCGGCCGAUGUCAGAUUAGCUAGUUGGUGAGGUAAAGGCUCGCCAAGGCGACGAUCUGUAGCGGGUCUGAGAGGAUGAUCCGCCACACUGGGACUGAGACACGGCCCAGACUCCUACGGGAGUCAGCAGUGGGGAAUUUUGGACAAUGGGGGCAACCCUGAUCCAGCCAUGCCGCGUGAGUGAAGAAGGCCUUCGGGUUGUAAAGCUCUUUCGGCCGGGAAGAAAUCGCACAGGCUAAUACUCUGUGUGGAUGACGGUACCGGCAUAAGAAGCACCGGCUAACUACGUGCCAGCAGCCGCCGUAA